rnacentral:rRNA from 1 species
CCUACGGGGUGCAGCAGUGGGGAAUAUUGGACAAUGGGCGAAAGCCUGAUCCAGCCAUGCCGCGUGUGUGAAGAAGGCCUUCGGGUUGUAAAGCACUUUCAGUGGGGAAGAAAGCCUUGGGGCUAAUACCCUCGAGGAAGGACAUCACCCACAGAAGCAGCACCGGCUAACUCCGUGCCAGCAGCCGCGGUAAUACGGAGGGUGCGAGCGUUAAUCGGAAUUACUGGGCGUAAAGCGCGCGUAGGCGGUCUGAUAAGCCGGUUGUGAAAGCCCCGGGCUCAACCUGGGAACGGCAUCCGGAACUGUCAGGCUAGAGUGCAGGAGAGGAAGGUAGAAUUCCCGGUGUAGCGGUGAAAUGCGUAGAGAUCGGGAGGAAUACCAGUGGCGAAGGCGGCCUUCUGGACUGACACUGACGCUGAGGUGCGAAAGCGUGGGUAGCAAACAGGAUUAGAUACCCCGGUAGUC